CCUACGGGUGGCAGCAGUGAGGAAUAUUGGUCAAUGGGCGGAAGCCUGAACCAGCCAAGUAGCGUGCAGGAUGACUGCCCUACGGGUUGUAAACUGCUUUUAUACGGGAAUAACGCGCCUUACGUGUAGGGCUUUGCAUGUACCGUAUGAAUAAGGACCGGCUAAUUCCGUGCCAGCAGCCGCGGUAAUACGGAGGGUCCGGGCGUUAUCCGGAUUUAUUGGGUUUAAAGGGUGCGUAGGCCGCAUGUCAAGUGUGCUGUGAAAUGUUCGGGCUCAACCCCUGCCUUGCAGCGCGAACUGGCGUGCUGGAGUCCGCGGAAAGCAGGCGGAAUGCGUGGUGUAGCGGUGAAAUGCUUAGAUAUGACGAAGAACCCCGAUUGCGAAGGCAGCUUGCUGCAGCGGAACUGACGCUGAUGCUCGAAAGCGCGGGUAUCGAACAGGAUUAGAUACCCUUGUAGUC
rnacentral:rRNA from 1 species